UACAGAGGUGGCAAGCGUUGUUCGGAAUUAUUGGGCGUAAAGCGCGCGCAGGCGGUUUCUUAAGUCUGAUGUGAAAGCCCACGGCUCAACCGUGGAGGGUCAUUGGAAACUGGGGAACUUGAGUGCAGAAGAGAAAAGCGGAAUUCCACGUGUAGCGGUGAAAUGCGUAGAGAUGUGGAGGAACACCAGUGGCGAAGGCGGCUUUUUGGUCUGUAACUGACGCUGAGGCGCGAAAGCGUGGGGAGCAAACAGG
rnacentral:rRNA from 1 species